AGCAGGUGCAGGUACGGAAGCGAAGGAAGCCAAGCUUCUCUGUAACUCUCUCUGUAUAGCGCGUUUUCGCGUUCUCACCUCUCGGGCGAUCGCCUCCUUUUGACUUCGUCGCGAUGGAGAAGAAGGACGAUCCGACAUUUUCCGGGAAACUGCUCGAUUCGCGUGUUCUUCUGACUCGCGACUCGUGAGGGAAUUUUUGCUCGGAUUCUGUUGCAGACGGUAGCGGCAUUCGUGAUUGCGGUGGUUGGGUAGGUGCGUGCGUCCUUUCGUCGAUUCCCCUGCGCCCGUCGAUCCCGGAACAAGGUUGAUCUCUUGUCAUAAUCAGUUCUUGCGGAUUAGGGUAAAAUGCGUGCACCGUCAUUGCUUGCACAGUGUUUACCUUGGUUCACUCCCCAUGACCGUGGGAGUCAGAAUGUGCCAUCUAUUCCGGAAAGAGCCUGCCUUCUCCAGCUGUGGAAAUUCUUCUGUCCAAGACAACUCAUCCUUACAAAUAUGCUGGAGAAAGUGUUGACAUGCAAGGUCUUACCGUAUUACCUGAACUUAAUAUGAUGGAGUCUUUCGGAACAAGCACCAAUCUCCUAAGUAACCCGGCUGUUACCCAUAAGCUCGAAGCCCAGCUUUGAUGCUGACAGUCACACAGAGAGAGAGAUUUAGCAGUCGGUUUUGCCUCACCGUCAUCUUGUUCUGCAGGCCUCUCUACG